rnacentral:rRNA from 1 species
GACGAACGCUGGCGGCGUGCUUAACACAUGCAAGUCGAACGGAAAGGCCCUGCUCUUGUGGGGUGCUCGAGUGGCGAACGGGUGUGUAACACGUGAGUAACAUGCCCUUGACUUUGGGAGAACUUCAGGAAACUGGGGCUAAUACCGGAUAGGAGCUCUUGCUGCGUGUGGGGGGUUGGAAAGAUUCGGCGGUUGGGGAUGGACUCGCGGCUUAUCAGCUUGUUGGUGGGGUAGUGGCGUACAAAGGCUUUGACGGGUAGCCGGCCUGAGAGGGUGACCGGCCACAUUGGGCCUGAGAUACGGCCCAGACUCCUACGGGAGGCAGCAGUGGGGAAUAUUGCACAAUGGGCGGAAGCCUGAUGCAGCAACGCCGCGUGCGGGAUAACGGCCUUCGGGUUGUAAACCUCUUUCGCCUGUGACGAAGCCUGAGUGACGGUAACGGGUAAAGAAGCACCGGCUAACUACGUG